AACGAACGCUGGCGGCAGGCCUAACACAUGCAAGUCGAGCGGAUGAGAGGAGCUUGCUUCUCGAUUCAGCGGCGGACGGGUGAGUAAUGCCUAGGAAUCUGCCUGGUAGUGGGGGACAACGUUUCGAAAGGAACGCUAAUACCGCAUACGUCCUACGGGAGAAAGCAGGGGACCUUCGGGCCUUGCGCUAUCAGAUGAGCCUAGGUCGGAUUAGCUAGUUGGUGAGGUAAUGGCUCACCAAGGCGACGAUCCGUAACUGGUAUGAGAGGAGGAUCAGUCACACUGGAACCGAGAAACGGUCCAGACUCCUGCGGGAGGCAGCAGUGGGGAAUAUUGGACAAUGGGCGAAAGCCUGAUCCAGCCAUGCCGCGUGUGUGAAGAAGGUCUUCGGAUUGUAAAGCACUUUAAGUUGGGAGGAAGGGUUGUAGAUUAAUACUCUGCAAUUUUGACGUUACCGACAGAAUAUGCACCGGCUAACUCUGUGCCAGCCGCCGCCGUAAUAC
rnacentral:rRNA from 1 species